GACGAACGCUGGCGGCGUGCUUAACACAUGCCAGUCGAACGGAAAGGCCCUGCUUUUGUGGGGUGCUCGAGUGGCGAACGGGUGAGUAACACGUGAGUAACCUGCCCUUGACUUUGGGAUAACUUCAGGAAACUGGGGCUAAUACCGGAUAGGAGCUCCUGCUGCAUGGUGGGGGUUGGAAAGUUUCGGCGGUUGGGGAUGGACUCGCGGCUUAUCAGCUUGUUGGUGGGGUAGUGGCUUACCAAGGCUUUGACGGGUAGCCGGCCUGAGAGGGUGACCGGCCACAUUGGGACUGAGAGACGGAGCAGACUCCUACGGGAGGCAGCAGUGGGGAAUAUUGCACAAUGGGCGGAAGCCUGAUGAAGCAACGCCGCGUGCGGGAUGACGGCCUGCGGGUUGUAAAACGCUUUCGCCUGUGACGAAGCGUGAGUGACGGUAAUGGGUAAAGAAGCACCGGCUAACUACGUG
rnacentral:rRNA from 1 species